AGAGCCUAGGACUUGCUGAUCAGAAGGUCGGCGGUUCGAAUCCCUGCGAUGGGGUGAGCUCCCGUUGCUCGGUCCCAGCCAACCUAGCCGUUCGAAAGCAUGUCAAAGUGCAAGUAGAUAAAUAGGUACCGCUCCAGCGGGAAGGUAAACGGCAUUUCCGUGCGCUGCUCUGGUUCGCCAGAAGCAGCUUAGUCAUGCUAGCCACAUGACCCGGAAGCUGAACGCCGGCUCCCUCGGCCAAUAAAGCGAGAUGAGUGCCACAACCCCAGAGUCCGCCACGACUGGACCUAAUUGUCAGGGGUCCUUUACCUUUACCUUUACCUUUAUUUAUCUCUAUAAUGGAAGCUGAAAGGCAAGAGGGCUGGCAACCUGAACAGGAGUGCUUGUCACAGAUUCCACUGGUUCUUUCUAUUUCAUCUCUUCAGGGAAGGACCAUAGCUCAGUGGGAGGACACUGAGGUCCCAGGUUCAAUUCCUGGCAUCUGCAGGUAGGACUGGGGGAGACUCCUGUGUGAAAUCCUGGAGAGCAGCUACCAGUCAGUGUAGACAGUGCUGAGUUAGAUGGACAAAAGGUCUGACUCAGUAUAAGGCAGCUUCCUAUGUUCCAGAUUUCAAGUUUCUGCUAGCAAGAAAGAAAUGUGGAGGUUUUGGAAUUAUGCAUAACUCUUACCUGGCAGAGAUUCAUUCAGGCUCCUUUUGGCAUUUAAAACCAGAUUUAUAAUUCAUACUAGUCUUUACACUGGCCCCGGUGAUUUUGCAUUAAGGUAUUAGAAUGAAUCGGCCACUCGUUGCUAUUUGUUGUGGUCUUAUUUAUAGUUUGUCAUUCUGUAACGUUUACAUCACCCUGGGGAAUUAAUUUCCCCUCUAUUCCACAGCCCAGCAGUACUAUGCAUGAUAUUAUACUUUCCAUCUAUAACAGCUUUCAAAUUUGAUAGCCAAACCAGAGGCCUUCAGUGAGUGCAGGAACAUUCUCUUGCACAACAGGCUGUGGAGCAAAAAUUAGCAACCUAGUAUAGGGUAUGAAAAUUCAGUAAAGGCAACAAUCAACUGGAAUCUGUGUCACAUAUGACCUCUCUGUAUGGGAGCUGAAACAAACUGUUACAAUUGGUUAGAAGAAGAGAAGCAUGUGGGAUUUUUGGAACUGACCUUCAGAAUUUGCAUUUCUGUGUGCACGCACCUACACACACACACACACACACACACACACACACUUGUUUACCUUUGCUGUACAUGUGGAAACAAGAGGUAUCACAGAAAUAACACCAUUUCUCAGUACUUUCUCCUGAGACUCCAUGCUGCAUGGGAGAGUUGGGAGUGCAAAUCAGAAACUAACACACUCCUGGUGCUUAGUGAAUUAGUACUAGUGAAAACAUAUGGAGAGGGGUAACACCUCACUAGAUUAGACCAAAAGUCUAUCUUGUCAAGCUACAACUUGUUUCCCACGAGGACCAACCCCACAUUUCAGAUCUACUAACAACUGUCAGGCUUUGUUAGCCGUCAUCAAACCCAUGGUGGUUCUCAGGUCCUUUGUGAAGAAGCUGACUACUUCUCUUGGGUAUGAUGUUAAUGAAAAACAGAGACUGGAGCGUCUUCCACAGCUGCUGCAUGUGCUUGUUAGCAGUAACCUAGAAUUGUAAGAGGCAUUAUGUGCAGGAAACAAAGGCAAGGGAUGCAAAGUUGACCUAAAGAUGACCCUUGCUAAGAGCCUUGCGAUCUAAAGCCAAGAUCUGUUGGUAUGAGUGAGUUUGGAAUAGGCACAUCUUGGACUCAGCAGGGGCUACACUGCUGUAACUUCCACACCUUGGCUCAGCCGGGAAUAAACUCCUGCCACUCAUUCGCUGAAGCAGCCAGUCCAGCAACCAUUCAGAUCUACUGAAUUUUAAUAACUUCUGAUCACUAUUGUUUUAUUUAAAAAAUGUGUUUGGUAGAUCACAAAGUUUGUUGUUGCUGUUGUUGCUGAUAGUAGCUGAAACUGUAAUAUACAAGCAGAGGGCAGGGCCAUAGCUUUUUCAUGAGCUGAUGUAAUGUGCUGGCUAAAGGCACAACCAAGCUAUCCAUAUUUUGGAGUAGGAUUCCAUCACAAAGCAGCAAAUCCACCUUGCCAAAUUAAAGUUGAUUUGGAGGGCUUGCUGAUCAGAAGGUCGGUGGUUCGAAUCCCCAUGACGGGGUAAGCUCCUGUUGCUCAGUCCCUGCUCCUGCCAACCUAGCAGUUCGAAAGCACGUCAAAGUGAAAGUAGAUAAAUAGGUACUGCUCUGGCAGGAAGGUAAAUGGCAUUUCCAUGCGCUGCUGUGGUUCACCAGAAGCGGCUUAGUCAUGCUGGCCACAUGACCCGGAAGCUGUCUGCAGACAAACGCCGGCUCCCUUGGCCUAUAUAGCGAGAUGAGCGCUGCAACCCCAGAGUCGUCUGUGACUGGACUUAAUGGUCAGGGGUCCCAUUACCUUUACUUAUUCAAAAGAUCAGACUUU